UACGUAGGGGGCAAGCGUUGUUCGGAAUUACUGGGCGUAAAGGGCGCGUAGGCGGCAUGGCAAGUCGGGAGUGAAAGGCCUGGGCUCAACCCAGGAACUGCUUUCGAGACUGCCAAGCUAGAGUGCGGAAGGGGCAACUGGAAUUCCCAGUGUAGCGGUGAAAUGCGUAGAUAUUGGGAAGAACACCGGUGGCGUAGGCGACUCGCUGGGCCGCAACUGACGCUGAGGAACGAAAGCCAGGGGAGCGAAUGGG
rnacentral:rRNA from 1 species